rnacentral:rRNA from 1 species
ACGUCGGGGGCAAGCGUUGUCCGGAUUUAUUGGGCGUAAAGAGCGUGUAGGCGGCCAGGUAGGUGGGUUGUGAAAACUGGAGGCUCAACCUCGAGACGUCGGUUGAAACCACCUGGCUAGAGUCCGGAAGAGGAGUGUGGAAUUCCCGGUGUAGCGGUGAAAUGCGCAGAUAUCGGGAAGAACACCCGUGGCGAAGGCGGCACUCUGGGACGGUACUGACGCUGAGACGCGAAAGCGUGGGGAGCGAACAGGA